CUAAGGCCCAGAAAGAGGAAGAGGCUGUCCCCUGGGGCUGAGGGAAGUGUUAUUAUGGAUUCUGUUGACCUCUGAAGCUUCUGGAACUUGGGAGAAGUCUCGGUAAAGGGGAAGCCCGUGGAGAACUGGAACACUGUCGUGAUGAUUCUGUCCCUUGGUACUCUUCUCUCCAUUCUCACAGCCAAAGAUCUGAGGAAGAUUUGUGCUUUUUGAAGCAAAAUGAUUUGGGUAAUUCUGAUGCACUCAAGAAAAGUCUUCUCAGAAAACAAAAGAAGACAUGUUCUUCCCCUUCAGAUUAAGCAAUCCUAGGGAAUGAUAUCAAAGGCUUCAUUUUAUUGGUACACUUAAUCACUGGCCGUUCUUUCUGAUGACUCAUUUUGUCGCACAUUGGGAUUUGGAAAUUUCUUGGUCCGCUUGGGAAUACGUUGCCUUCACUGCCGGGAGGGCAGAGGAGCCUCCCUGCUGACUUCAGACCCUAGAAGCUCUGAGGUCAGUGAUGACGACCGGGAGAAAGCAAGACAGCCUCUCCCGCACUAGGAGGAGAAAGGGCGCAUUCUAUUUGCCAGGAUGGAGCCGAUCAGAAGCCCAGAUAUCUCCCUCCUGCCUCCGACCACCUAACAGGCAACAGUGUAUCCGAGUGGGGAAGCACACUGGCAGAGAGCAGGGCAGUUAAGAUCAACACAUUAUGGAGGAAGCAUGUGUCCCUCUCAAGAAAGCAAGCAGACACAGAGCUUUGCGUGUUCCUCAGUGGGGAACAUCCCCAGUGUCCACGGAUGGAUGAAUGGACAAAGGUGUGGCAUAUACAUGGCAAGGAAUAUUACUCAGCCAUAAAAAGGAAUGAAACCUUGUCAUUUGCAACAUGGAUGGACCUCCAGGGCAUUCGGCUAAACGAAGUAAAUGCGAUACAGAAAAGCAAAUACUAUAUGACCUCAUUUAUAUGUGGAAUGUAAGCAACGUCAACAGCACCAAAAUAAAAACCACAAAAACAAAAACAAAAAAAUCCAGCGCAUGAAAAUAGAUUGGCAGUUGCCUGGGGUGGGGUGGGUGGGGAAGGUGAAAUGUGCUAAAUUGGUGAAAAGAGUGAAAAGGUACAAAUUUCCAGUUAUAAAAUGAAUAAAUCAUUGGGACGUCCCGUACAGCGUGGUGACUGUAGUUAAUUCUGUACCGUGUAUUUGGAAGUAGGUAAGGGAGUGGAUCUUGAAAGUUCUCAUCACAAGGAAAAAAAUGUGUAACUUUCUGUGGCAAUGGAUAUUAACGGAACCUACUGUGAUGAUCACAGACAAAUACAGAGUCAUUGUGUAUUUGAAACUAUUGAAGCAUUUGAAACUAAUAUAAUGUUAUGUCAAUUAUUCCCCUCUCUCUCUCUCUCUCUCACUCUGUGUGUGUGUGUGUGUGUGUGUAUCAAAAUAUACCUCUGGCAUAAUGAUUAUUUUGUGCUGAAGUCGACUGAG